rnacentral:ncRNA from 1 species
GGUAACUGUGCCUCCCGCUUGAAAGGAGGUGAGUUUCAUGUUUAAGGACCUUUUUCAAUUGAUCAUCGCUCCACUAAUUGUGGGGAUAGUGCUUGCACUAUUCGAUCAAUGGUUAAAUGAUCGUCAUGAUCGCAAAUAAUUAACAGUUACCAUUUAACCCUCACACUUGAAUUACCGGGCGUAAAG